UGGGGAAUUGUUCGCAAUGGGCGCAAGCCUGACGACGCAACGCCGCGUGGAGGAUGAAGGUCUUCGGAUUGUAAACUCCUGUUGCCCGGGACGAAAUGUUCAGACCUAAUACGUCUGAGUUUGACGGUACCGGGUGAGGAAGCCCCGGCUAACUCUGUGCCAGCAGCCGCGGUAAUACAGAGGGGGCAAGCGUUGUUCGGAAUUACUGGGCGUAAAGGGCGCGUAGGCGGCUUGACAAGUCACUUGUGAAAUCUCUGGGCUUAACCCAGAACGGCCAAGUGAAACUGUCAUGCUAGAGUGCAGAAGGGGCAAUCGGAAUUCUUGGUGUAGCGGUGAAAUGCGUAGAUAUCAAGAGGAACACCUGAGGUGAAGACGGGUUGCUGGGCUGACACUGACGCUGAGGCGCGAAAGCCAGGGGAGCAAACGGGAUUAGAUACCCCUGUAGUCCCUGAGCGGGCUGGCAAGGCGCAU
rnacentral:rRNA from 1 species